ensembl:Mt_tRNA
AAGACGUUAGUAAACACAUUACAUAGCUUUGUCAAAGCUAAAUUAUAGGUUUAAAUCCUUUACGACUUA